UACGGGGGGUGCGAGCGUUGUCCGGAAUCACUGGGCGUAAAGGGCGCGUAGGUGGCCUGAUAAGGGUGUGGUGAAAGUCCGGGGCUUAACCCCCGGAUCUGCCGUGCCGACUGUUAGGCUAGAGUGCUGUAGGGGCAGGCGGAAUUCCGGGUGUAGCGGUGGAAUGCGUAGAGAUCCGGAGGAAGACCGGUGGCGAAGGCGGCCUGCUGGGCAGAUACUGACACUGAGGCGCGACAGCGUGGGGAGCAAACAGG
rnacentral:rRNA from 1 species